rnacentral:rRNA from 1 species
AUUGAACGCUAGCGGGAUGCCUUACACAUGCAAGUCGAACGGCAGCACGGACUUCGGUCUGGUGGCGAGUGGCGAACGGGUGAGUAAAGUAUCGGAACGUGCCCAGUAGCGGGGGAUAACUACGCGAAAGCGUAGCUAAUACCGCAUACGCCCUAAGGGGGAAAGCGGGGGAUCGCAAGACCUCGCACUAUUGGAGCGGCCGAUAUCGGAUUAGCUAGUUGGUGGGGUAAAGGCCUACCAAGGCGACGAUCCGUAGCUGGUUUGAGAGGACGGCCAGCCACACUGGGACUGAGACACGGCCCAGACUCCUACGGGAGGCAGCAGUGGGGAAUUUUGGACAAUGGGGGCAACCCUGAUCCAGCCAUUUCGCGUGUGCGAUGAAGGCCUUCGGGUUGUAAAGCACUUUUGGCAGGGAAGAAAAGGAUUGGGCUAAUACCCUGAUUCGCUGACGGUACCUGCAGAAUAAGCACCGGCUAACUACGUGCCAGCCGCCGCCGUAA